CGCGGAGCUGUGUGCAUCUCCUACGCGGGCUCGCUCGCUCCCGGGAGCCGCGCAGCUUCCCCGGCGGUGGCAGGAGCGGCGAAGAGCGCCAUCAGCGGGCCCUUACGGCCCCAGGCCUCGCGGCGCGCGGUCCGCUCGCCCUCCUCGUCCGCCCAACCUGCGGCCUGUGGAGGCGUGAGGCGACGACAGGCGAGCGCCUCGAGCAGCGUUAGCCGCUGCGGCCGCCGGUCCUCCCUCCACCUCCUCCUCGGCCCCCCCUCGCUUCCCUCCUCCCACUUCCCGAGCUCCGGCGUGUCCCGGCCACGCUCGACGCUGCUGCAGGAACAAAGGAAGACCCCGCGGCGGCGGCGGCGCCACCUCCGCCUGCUGCUCCGACCCGCUCCCGGCCCGCGGCGGCGGCACCAGGGCGCCCGGCUCAGCCUUCCCGGAGGCCUCGGCCCGGCCUCAUCGUGCCGGCUUCGCGCGCGAACCCGGCUUUCGCAUUUGGGACCCUGCAGGGCCCUGAAAAGGAGCCUUUAAAAGUCAAUUCUACUCCAUUUGGCAAAGAGGGAACUGAAAUCUGGAAAGUAAGGACUUGCCCAAGGUCACUGACUUAGUGGCAGACUAGAGACUUGAACUCAGGUCUCCAUUCCCAGCAGAAAAAUAUGGCUCAGGAGACUAACCAGACCCCGGGGCCCAUGCUGUGUAGCACAGGAUGUGGCUUUUAUGGAAAUCCUAGGACAAAUGGAAUGUGUUCAGUUUGCUACAAAGAACAUCUUCAGAGGCAGCAAAAUAGUGGCAGAAUGAGCCCAAUGGGAACAGCUAGUGGUUCCAACAGUCCUACCUCAGAUUCUGCAUCUGUACAGAGAGCAGACACUAGCUUAAACAACUGUGAAGGUGCUGCUGGCAGCACAUCUG
rnacentral:lncRNA from 10 species